rnacentral:rRNA from 1 species
ACAUGGAGUCCAAACGUUAUCCGGAUUUACUGGGCGUAAAGCGUUCGUAGGUGUCCACUCAAGUCUUCGGUGAAAUCUCCGGGCUUAACUCGGAAACUGUCGAGGAAACUGAGUGGAUUGAGUACGGCAGAGGCAGAUGGAAUUCUUGGUGUAGAGGUAAAAUUCGUUGAUAUCAAGAAGAACACCAGUGGCGAAGGCGAUCUGCUGGGCCGGCACUGACACUGAGGAACGAAAGCGUGGGUAGCGAACGGGA